rnacentral:rRNA from 1 species
UACGUAGGGUGCAAGCGUUGUCCGGAAUUAUUGGGCGUAAAGAGCUCGUAGGCGGUUUGUCGCGUCUGCUGUGAAAACCUAAGGCUCAACCUUGGGCUUGCAGUGGGUACGGGCAGACUAGAGUGCGGUAGGGGUGACUGGAAUUCCUGGUGUAGCGGUGGAAUGCGUAGAUAUCGGGAGGAACACCAGUGGCGAAGGCGGCUUCCUGGACCGGUUCUGACACUGAGGAGCGAAAGCGUGGGGAGCGAUCCGG